rnacentral:misc_RNA from 1 species
CACCCUUUUGGUGGGGCUGUGGAUAUCAUUGUGGUGGAGCAGCCAGAUGGUAGCUUUAAAUCCUCGCCUUGGUAUGUUCGGUUUGGGAAGUUUCAAGGGGUAUUGAAGGCGACAGAGAAGGUGGUGGUUAACAUUAGUGUUAAUGGAAUAAAUGCAAAUUUGCACAUGUAUCUUGAUCAGAGAGGAGAAGCUUACUUUCUCAGGGAGGAAGAAGGAGAUGAAGGGGAAUCUGUUUCAUCAUCUUCUAGUGAUGAGACAGAUGAGCAAUCUCAGAAUAGCNNNCAAUGAAGUCCAGUAGCUGUGAUUUGAUGGUAAUAAGUUAAAUUCAUGUGGUCAGAUUGAUGGAAAUAAAGAGAAGAAUGUUGCUAGGACUAAUUCCCGCCG